AACGAACGCUGGCGGCGUGCCUAACACAUGCAAGUCGAACGAGAAAGUAGCAAUACGAGUACAGUGGCGGACGGGUGAGUAAUACGUAGGUAAUCUACCUUACUGUGUGGAAUAACUAAGGGAAACUUUAGCUAAUACCGCAUACGGUUUCAGAUCUCAUGAUUUGAAAAGAAAGGGGGGUCGCAAGAUCUCUCGCAGUUUGAUGAGCCUGCGUCCGAUUAGCUAGUUGGUAAGGUAAUGGCUUACCAAGGCGACGAUCGGUAGCUGAUUUGAGAGAAUGAUCAGCCACACUGGAACUGACACACGGUCCAGACUCCUACGGGAGGCAGCAGUGGGGAAUAUUGCGCAAUGGGGGAAACCCUGACGCAGCGACGCCGCGUGGGUGAUGAAGGCCUUCGGGUUGUAAAGCCCUGUCGGCUGGGAACAAGUUAGACGUGCUCAUACCACGUUUGAUUGAGUGUACCAGCAAAGGAAGCACCGGCUAACCCUGUG
rnacentral:rRNA from 1 species